AUACCGCAUAGGCUUGGAAAGACGGGAGGAUUUCUAAGCAAAGUUCAGGCGUUUUGGGAGGGGCCUGCGGUCGAUUAGCUAGUUGGUAGGGUAACGGCCUACCAAGGCGAUGAUCGAUAGCUGUUCUGAGAGGAAGACCAGCCACACGGGAACUGAGAGACGGUCCCGACUCCUACGGGGGGCAGCAGUGAGGAAUAUUGCACAAUGGGGGCAACCCUGAUGCAGCAACGCCGCGUGAAGGAUGAAGGUCUUCGGAUUGUAAACUUCUUUUCUGUGGGAAGAAGGGUGUGGCGACACACCUUGACGGUACCAGAGGAAUAAGACACGGCUAACUACGUGCCAGCAGCCGCGGUAAUACGU
rnacentral:rRNA from 1 species